rnacentral:misc_RNA from 1 species
GCCAGUGCCUGAUGGCUGAAAGAUGGGAGAAACUGCGAGAUGUUGUUAAAAACAGUCAAAUUUUCAGUCUGCCAAAGUACCCGCAAAAUUGGUGCAGUUUCACUGGAAAGUACACAGAAUCACGUCCUGGCUUUGCAUGGUUGAAGUGCAAGGCGGAUAUAGACUUUGAAAUUCUAUUAAGAUCACAUAAGAUACUGACAAGGGGUGGGGAGCGUUUCGGAGUUGGUCGACAGUACGUCAGGAUCAGCUUGCUCAGUCAAGAAGAAGCAUUUAACCUUUUUCUGGAGAGAUUAUCAGCAAUCAAAGGGCAAGGCAUCAUCAGUGAAGAAAAUCACAUGUAACAAGUCAUAUGGUACACUUGACAGUGCAGGGAUUCAGAACCACCUGAACUUUAGGCAUAUUAAGAAGGCAUGGUAGUUUUAUCCUUUUUGUUUGUAACCCCAAGGAUGAUAAU